rnacentral:rRNA from 1 species
AUUGAACGCUGGCGGCAGGCCUAACACAUGCAAGUCGAGCGAGCGGCGGGCGGGUGCGUAAUGUAUAGUGACUGCCCGAUAGCGGGCGAUAACUACUGGAAACGGUAUCUAAUACCGCAUACUAUCGGAUAACCCAUAUGGGAUUAGCUAGUAGGUGAGGUAAUGGCUCACCUAGGCGACGAUCCCUAGCUGGUCUGAGAGGAUGAUCAGCCACACUGGGACUGAGACACGGCCCAGACUCCUACGGAGGCAGCAGUGGGGAAUAUUUGACAAUGGGCGAAAGCCUGAUGCAGCCACGCCGCGUGUAUGAAGAAGGCCUUAGGGUUGUAAAGUACUGUUAGUCGGGAGGCGUUACCGACAGAAGAAGCACCGGCUAACUCCGUGCCAGCAGCCGCGGUAAUAC